UUACCAGGCCUUGACAUGCAGAGAACUUUCCAGAGAUGGAUUGGUGCCUUCGGAACUCUGACACAGGUGCUGCACGGCUGUCGUCAGCUCGUGUCGUGAGAUGUUGGGUUAAGUCCGUAACGAGCGCAACCCUUGUCCUUAGUUACCAGCACGGUUAUGGUGGGCACUCUAAGGAGACUGCCGGUGACAAACCGGAGGAAGGUGGGGAUGACGUCAAGUCAUCAUGGCCUUACGGCCUGGGCUACACACGUGCUACAAUGGUCGGUACAAAGGGUUGCCAAGCCGCGAGGUGGAGCUAAUCCCAUAAAACCGAUCGUAGUCCGGAUCGCAGUCUGCAACUCGACUGCGUGAAGUCGGAAUCGCUAGUAAUCGUGAAUCAGAAUGUCACGGUGAAUACGUUCCCGGGCCUU
rnacentral:rRNA from 1 species